AUUUAAUAACUAUAACCUUUGAAAACAUGAACGUUUUAUAACUUCGCUGAAGUUUUAUAACAAGGGCUCGGGGAUAGUUAUAGGAGUUGUACAUUUUUCUGUACGCACUGUAUUUACAGCGGACCAAGCUAGGCAUUUUCCCUACAUAUAAUGGAGGGUUUAAAAUGCAUAUUUUGCAUAUUUCGUUAACUUCGUAUAGUGAAAAAGUGCACGUGUUUAUCGGUUUUCGCGUAUUUUUAAGCAUGUAUUAUGCAUAUUUAAUGUUCGGUAAAAAAUACUGCC